UCAGCACAGGUAGCCAGAUAC
rnacentral:misc_RNA from 1 species